rnacentral:rRNA from 1 species
GAUGAACGCUGGCGGCGUGCCUAAUACAUGCAAGUCGAGCGAACAGAUGAGGAGCUUGCUCCUCUGACGUUAGCGGCGGACGGGUGAGUAACACGUGGAUAACCUACCUAUAAGACUGGGAUAACUUCGGGAAACCGGAGCUAAUACCGGAUAAUAUAUUGAACCGCAUGGUUCAAUAGUGAAGGACGGUUUUGCUGUCACUUAUAGCUGGAUCCGCGCCGCAUUAGCUAGUUGGUAAGGUAACGGCUUACCAAGGCAACGAUGCGUAGCCGACCUGAGAGGGUGAUCGGCCACACUGGAACUGAGACACGGUCCAGACUCCUACGGGAGGCAGCAGUAGGGAAUCUUCCGCAAUGGGCGAAAGCUUGACGGAGCAACGCCGCGUGAGUGAUGAAGGUCUUCGGAUCGUAAAACUCUGUUAUUAGGGAAGAACAAAUGUGUAAGUAACUAUGCACGUCUUGACGGUACCUAAUCAGAAAGCCACGGCUAACUACGUG